CGGGGCUCGACUCUAGGAGUUGGGCUGAGGAUUUCCACCCGAUCCUCGAACCUCCGGCCCAUCUCAUGGACGCCCCUCCCCCUUCAAACACCCUCCCCCACAUUUAUUCCCGCGUCUCUGUUUUAAAGAUGGGUAAACUGAGGCACAGGGAGCCGGGCCGGGGAGCACUGACAGAACCAGAAGCAGGUUCUGCCUCCCGUCCCCUCGGAGGGCCGACUUGCCCCUUCUGGGUUUCGUCGGGGGUCUCAGAUACGAGGAGGCCCAGCUGGAAGCCACCUGAGGGUGUCCCCCGCUAAGAUGCGCAAAUGGGAAAAGCGAGGCCGGGGUUGGGGAAAGAACUUGCCCGAGCCGCAGAGCGCGUCAGCCGGGGAGGUCGGGGCGGGGGCGCCCCGCGCGACCGAGGAUCGGGUAUCUGGGCCCGGCGCGGAGCCUGCAGGGCGGGGCCGCGGCGCGUGCUGAUGACGCAGUCGGCGCGGCGGCCCUAGCGACGCGGUUACUAGGGAGCGGCGAGCCGAGACGGCUACAUGGACGCCGCUACCGCCCCGCACCGUAUCCCCCCCGAGAUGCCCCAGUACGGGGAGGAGAACCACAUCUUCGAGUUGAUGCAGAACAUGCUGGAGCAACUCCUGAUCCACCAGCCCGAGGAUCCCAUCCCCUUCAUGAUCCAGCACUUGCAUAGAGACAACGACAAUGCUGCUUUGAAGGAGCUACCAGUGCACCAGUGAAAUUAGCGCUUGGUACAGCUGAGGACAGAGCCCAGAGAUGCCCUGUGUGGAGGUUCAGAAGGCCCAAGUGCCCAGGAUUGUAAUAUUAGGUCCACCCGCCUCGGGGAAAACAACAAUAGCAAUGUGGCUCUGCAAACAUCUGAACAGCAGUCUCCUCACCCUGGAGAACCUGAUCUUAAACGAGUUUUCCUAUACGGCCACCGAAGCCAGAAGGCUUUAUCUGCAAAGGAAGACAGUUCCCAGCGCGCUGCUCGUCCAGCUGAUUCAGGAACGCCUGGCUGAAGAGGAUUGCAUCAAGCAGGGCUGGAUUCUGGAUGGCAUCCCUGAGACGCGUGAGCAGGCUCUGAGGAUCCAGACCCUGGGGAUCACACCCAGACACGUCAUCGUGCUGAGUGCUCCAGACACGGUCCUGAUCGAGAGAAACUUGGGGAAGAGAAUCGACCCUCAAACUGGAGGUAUGGCUGCGGCCACCCCCACCCAGCCCCAUGGGGUUUCAGAGUCCAUAGUGAUGACAGCCCGUCUACCAUUUCCUGACCUCGCAUUCUGCUCUGGGCACCCACAGAGGGACACGAGGAAGGCUGCCACAGGCUGGGCUCUGAGCUGGAAGACACUGGCAAGGACAUGGGAUACCUGAGACUCAGUUUUCUUAUCUGUACUUGAGGAUGAAAAUACCAACCUAAUGGGUGAUGGGAUGGCUGUGAGGAUGAAAUGGGAGUCUGCAGGUGCCUAUCAGAGUGCCUGGCACAGAAGAUUUAUCACACCACCUUUGACUGGCCACCCGAAUCUGAAAUCCAGAACCGUCUCAUGGUGCCAGAGGACAUCUCAGAGCUGGAGACGGCUCAGAAACUGCUGGAGUAUCAUAGGAACAUCAUCAGGGUCAUUCCCUCCUACCCCAAAAUCCUCAAAGUCAUCAGUGCUGACCAGCCAUGUGUGGACGUCUUCUACCAGGCUCUGACCUAUGUCCAAAGCAACCAUCGUACUAAUGCCCCGUUCACCCCGAGGGUGCUGCUGCUCGGGCCUGUGGGCAGUGGGAAAAGUCUGCAGGCCGCCCUCCUGGCCCAGAAAUACAGGCUUGUCAACGUCUGCUGUGGGCAACUGCUGAAAGAGGCUGUGGCAGACAGGACCACGUUUGGCGAGCUCAUCCAGCCCUUCUUUGAAAAGGAGAUGGCAGUUCCUGACAGCCUCCUCAUGAAGGUGCUGAGCCAGCGCCUGGACCAGCAGGACUGCAUCCAGAAAGGCUGGGUGCUACACGGCGUCCCGCGGGACCUGGACCAGGCACACCUGCUGAACAGCCUGGGCUACAAUCCCAACAGGGUGUUUUUCCUGAAUGUGCCAUUUGAUUCCAUCAUGGAGCGGCUGACUCUGAGAAGAAUUGAUCCAGUCACUGGGGAAAGGUACCACCUCAUGUACAAGCCACCUCCCACCAUGGAGAUCCAGGCUCGCCUCCUGCAGAACCCAAAGGAUGCUGAAGAGCAGGUCAAGCUGAAAAUGGACCUGUUCUACAGGAACUCGGCUGACUUGGAGCAGUUGUAUGGGUCGGCCAUCACCCUCAAUGGGGACCAGGACCCAUACACAGUCUUCGAAUACAUCGAGAGCGGGAUCAUUAAUCCCCUGCCCAAGAAAAUCCCCUGAUGGGUUCAGAGCCAGGAGCACCGCCCCAGGGAAAGAGUUAAUCCCCUGCCCCCAGCGCCCCAGCCUCGGCACAGCUCCCCUAAAAAGCCAAUAAAGCCUGCUGGAUACAG
rnacentral:sRNA from 1 species